AGAGUUUGAUCCUGGCUCAGGAUGAACGCUGGCGGCGUGCCUAACACAUGCAAGUCGAACGGAGUUACUUUGGUGAAGUUUUCGGAUGGAUCUGAUUUAACUUAGUGGCGGACGGGUGAGUAAUGCGUGAGCAACCUGCCCUUCAGAGGGGGACAACAGUUGGAAACGACUGCUAAUACCGCAUAAUGUAUUCGGGAGGCAUCUUCUGGAUACCAAAGGAGAAAUCCGCUGAUGGAUGGGCUCACGUCUGAUUAGCUAGUUGGUGAGGUAACGGCUCACCAAGGCUGCGAUCAGUAGCCGGACUGAGAGGUUGAACGGCCACAUUGGGACUGAGAUACGGCCCAGACUCCUACGGGAGGCAGCAGUGGGGAAUAUUGGGCAAUGGGCGAAAGCCUGACCCAGCAACGCCGCGUGAAGGAAGAAGGCCUUCGGGUUGUAAACUUCUUUUAAGAGGGACGAAGAAGUGACGGUACCUCUUGAAUAAGCCACGGCUAACUACGUGCCAGCAGCCGCGGUAAUACGUAGGUGGCGAGCGUUGUCCGGAAUUAUUGGGCGUAAAGAGCAUGUAGGCGGUUUUUUAAGUCUGGAGUGAAAAUGCGGGGCUCAACCCCGUAUGGCUCUGGAUACUGGAAGACUUGAGUGCAGGAGAGGAAAGGGGAAUUCCCAGUGUAGCGGUGAAAUGCGUAGAUAUUGGGAGGAACACCAGUGGCGAAGGCGCCUUUCUGGACUGUGUCUGACGCUGAGAUGCGAAAGCCAGGGUAGCGAACGGGAUUAGAUACCCCGGUAGUCCUGGCCGUAAACGAUGGGUACUAGGUGUAGGAGGUAUCGACCCCUUCUGUGCCGGAGUUAACGCAAUAAGUACCCCGCCUGGGGAGUACGUCCGCAAGGAUGAAACUCAAAGGAAUUGACGGGGGCCCGCACAAGCGGUGGAGUAUGUGGUUUAAUUCGACGCAACGCGAAGAACCUUACCAAGGCUUGACAUUGAAUGACCGCUUCAGAGAUGAAGCUUUCCCUUCGGGGACAUGAAAACAGGUGGUGCAUGGCUGUCGUCAGCUCGUGUCGUGAGAUGUUGGGUUAAGUCCCGCAACG
rnacentral:rRNA from 1 species